ACUUUAUCUUUUCUCCUCUGCUAUGUAUCUCCCUCCUAACGUUAUCAUCAUUUAUUAUACCUUUAAGAUUCAUCUCACUGGCACAAAGCUUUUGGAUCAUGAACCUUCCAUCCAUAAUUGAUUCCUCAGUGGGCCAUCUGUGACUUCUUCCUUGGAGUCUGUUGGGCAGUUGAAGACAGUACAGAGAAAAGUUAUCAGGGGUCCUUCUGGAAGGAGUAAAUGUCUUUAUACUGCAUAGCAGCAUCACUGGAUUUCUUCAGGGGCACCAGCUUUAAAAGGACCAUCUCUGCUGUCAGCCAUAGUUUGAUGUUUUGAAUAAACCUCCAGACGGACCAAGCGCCUUUCUUCCCCAGCACAGCUGAAAGCAAAGAAGCUGAAACAAAACAGAGAUACUGCUUUAAAGAACAACCAGGA